AGCGAACGCUGGCGGCAGGCCUAACACAUGCAAGUCGAACGAAGUCUUCGGACUUAGUGGCGGACGGGUGAGUAACACGUGGGAACGUACCUUUUGGUUCGGAACAACUCAGGGAAACUUGAGCUAAUACCGGAUGAGCCCUUAGGGGGAAAGAUUUAUCGCCGAAAGAGCGGCCCGCGUUAGAUUAGCUAGUUGGUGAGGUAAAGGCUCACCAAGGCUACGAUCUAUAGCUGGUCUGAGAGGAUGAUCAGCCACACUGGGACUGAGACACGGCCCAGACUCCUACGGGAGGCAGCAGUGGGGAAUCUUGCGCAAUGGGCGAAAGCCUGACGCAGCCAUGCCGCGUGAAUGAUGAAGGUCUUAGGAUUGUAAAAUUCUUUUACCAGGGACGAUAAUGGCGGUACCUGGAGAAAAAGCCCCGGCUAACUUCGUGCCAGCCGCCGCAGUAAUAC
rnacentral:rRNA from 1 species